rnacentral:rRNA from 1 species
CCCUUAGAUGUUCUGGGCAGCACGCGCGCUACAAUGGUCUUCGCAAACGGAUGCAUUCUCGAAGGAGAAUGCCAAUCUUGGAAUCUAUGCCUUGGUCGGGACAGUUGCUUGCAAUUUUUCGACUCGAACCAGGAAUUCCUUGUAAUCGUGAUUCAUCACAUCACGAUGAAUACGUCCCUGCCCUUUGUACACACCGCCCGUCGCUCCUACCGAUCGAAGAGUUAGGUGAAUUGUUUUGAUCGAUAACAUUUGACUAUGGUCAACUCUCGUUGUGAAAUUCUGUGAAUCUGACUGUUUAGAGGAAGGAAAAGUCGUAACA